GUCUGGUCACCUUACACAUAUACUAAAAACUGGAAUAAUACAGAGAUUAGCAUGGCCCCUGUGGAAGGAUGACACAGAUAAAAAAGGCUAUUUCAGGAUCUAU